GAAAUGCGAUAAGUAGUGUGAAUUGCAGAAUUCAGUGAAUCAUCGAAUCUUUGAACGCACAUUGCGCCCCUUGGUAUUCCAUGGGGCAUGCCUGUUCGAGCGUCAUUUGUACCCUCAAGCUCUGCUUGGUGUUGGGUGUUUGUCCCCGUCUCCGCGCGUGGACUCGCCCCAAAGUGAUUGGCAGCCGGCGUACUGGUCCCGGAGCGCAGCACAUGUCGCGCAAACGAGUGCCUUGGUACGGCGGCGUCCAUAAGCCCCUCUCUCACGCUCUUGACCCCGGAUCAGGUAGGGAUACCCUCUGAACUUAAGC
rnacentral:misc_RNA from 1 species